CACCGCGGUUAGACGAGAGGCCCAAGUUGAUAGACAACGGCGUAAAGAGUGGUUAGGGGCUGCAACAAACUAAAGCUGAAUGCUCUCAAGACUGUUAUACGUACCCGAGAGUCCGAAACCCAACUACGAAAGUGGCUUUAUUAAACCCGACCCCACGAAAGCUAAGGAA
rnacentral:rRNA from 1 species